rnacentral:rRNA from 1 species
GACGAAGGGGGCUAGCGUUGUUCGGAAUUACUGGGCGUAAAGCGAGUGUAGGUGGUUGUCCAAGUUGGAUGUGAAAGCCUUGAGCUCAACUCAAGAAAUGCAUUCAGGACUGGGUGACUAGAGGACCGGAGAGGAUAGUGGAAUUCCCAGUGUAGUGGUGAAAUACGUAGAGAUUGGGAAGAACACCAGUGGCGAAGGCGGCUCACUGGACCGGCAUUGACGCUGAGGUGCGAAAGCGUGGGGAGCAAACAGG